rnacentral:rRNA from 1 species
UGGGGAAUUUUGGACAAUGGGGGAAACCCUGACCCAGCCAUCCCGCGUGUGCGAUGAAGGCCUUUGGGUUGUAAAGCACUUUUGGCAGGAAAGAAACGUCAUGGGUUAAUACCCCGUGAAACUGACGGUACCUGCAGAAUAAGCACCGGCUAACUACGUGCCAGCAGCCGCGGUAAUACGUAGGGUGCAAGCGUUAAUCGGAAUUACUGGGCGUAAAGCGUGCGCAGGCGAUUCGGAAGGAAAGAUGUGAAAUCCCAGAGCUCAACUUUGGAACUGCAUUUUUAACUACCGGGCUAGAGUGUGUCAGAGGGAGGUGGAAUUCCGCGUGUAGCAGUGAAAUGCGAAGAUAUGCGAAGGAACACCGAUGGCGAAGGCAGCCUCCUGGGAUAACACUGACACUCAUGCACGAAAGCGUGGGGGGCAAACAGG